UACGGAGGGGGCUAGCGUUGUUCGGAAUUACUGGGCGUAAAGCGCACGUAGGCGGCUUUGUAAGUUAGAGGUGAAAGCCCGGGGCUCAACUCCGGAAUUGCCUUUAAGACUGCAUCGCUAGAAUUGUGGAGAGGUAAGUGGAAUUCCGAGUGUAGCGGUGAAAUUCGUAGAUAUUCGGAAGAACACCAGUGGCGAAGGCGACUCGCUGGACAAGUAUUGACGCUGAGGUGCGAAAGCGUGGGGAGCAAACAGG
rnacentral:rRNA from 1 species